rnacentral:lncRNA from 1 species
CAAUCCCACAAUGACUAUUUUCUAGCACUUAAUUCAAUUUUUCUUUAAAUACUAUUUGACUAAAACAAAUUAAAGGUUGCAAAAUUUGGGUUUUAAUCUAAAUUCUAGAAAAUAAAUGAAUGUUCACACAAUUAGUUGGAGAAUCAAAUAAUAAAUGGAUGUUAGGGUAGAAUAACUUCACCAAUUGAUCAUCUUUACAUCUCAAAUUAAACUCAAUUCUAAUGUAGUGCUCGGACGAAUUCUCCUAUUGUAUUCAAUUUACCCCUCUCGAGUCCUCGUUGAGCCUAUUCAACUAAUUAAAUUUCAUAUCUCUAUACAAAUUCAACUUAGUUAAACAAGUUCUAUGUUCUAGGAAUUUAAUUAUGACCGCAAUAAUGGUAUAGGUAUCUGUACUCGUUAUACUAAUGUACUGGAUUUUACUACAUAGUCUAAAUCCUAAACUCAUAUCUCUAUUUGUAAAGAAUUCACAAAAUUCAUCAAAUUAUUGAUCAGAUAAUUUAAUGCAUUUAACUCAUAGCAAAAUCAACACAUGAAAAAAUUAAAAACUGAAAAUCUUAAUAAGAGAAUGUAAAAUAUCUCAAUUGGUUAUAUUAUUCCCCAUAACAAUGAAUUUAGCUACUCAUAACACAAGAAGAAAAGUAGGAAAUUAUCUUAGAAUACAUCACCGAGUUUGUAAUAAAGAUGUAAAAGAAAAAGUAGAAUUCUUGCACCAACAUCUCCUUCCUCUUCCAAUGAAUGCUUCAAUCUUCAAUUGCUUAGUGUUAAUCUUCUUGAAUUUCUCUUUUAAAUCUCCCUUUUUGUUGUCUUGUCUCAAAUAUGUCAAAAACCCUUCAAAAGUAUGAGAAAUAUGUAUUUAUAGGUGCCCCUCCCUUUUAUGUAGAAGUAGGGUUUUUAUGGAUUUUAAAACGGCUCAAAAAAAUGCGCCCUAGAUACUUAGUAGCAGCGCCUAAGUGCUGACGAUAGCGCCUGGCCGCUACGUCUUUAGUGCCUAGGCGCUGAUGGUAGCGCCUGCGCGCUAUGAUUGCGGCGCCUAGGCGCU